rnacentral:rRNA from 1 species
CAGCAGCCGCGGGAAUACGAAGGGGGCUAGCGUUGCUCGGAAUUACUGGGCGUAAAGGGAGCGUAGGCAGACAUUUAAGUCAGGGGUGAAAUCCCGGGGCUCAACCUCGGAAUUGCCUUUGAUACUGGGUGUCUUGAGUAUGAGAGAGGUAUGUGGAACUCCGAGUGUAGAGGUGAAAUUCGUAGAUAUUCGGAAGAACACCAGUGGCGAAGGCGACAUACUGGCUCAUUACUGACGCUGAGGCUCGAAAGCGUGGGGAGCAAACAGGAUUAGAUACCCCCGUAGUCCCUGUCUCUUAUAC